CGCGGACGCCCGGCUCGGGCAGGCGUGGGGGGCCCGCGCGUCCCGGGAGCCCCGAGGCGGCAGCGCGCGUUUCCACGCCGCGGUCCCGCGGGAAAGCCGGGGGCGGCGGCCUGGCUGAGGCCAAGCUCGGAUCCGGUGCCGAGCCAAGCGGGGCCGUGCGUCGCCGGGGCUUCGCCUUCGCUCGCGUGACCUCCGCCGUCCUCCCCAACCCUCGUCCUCUGGCCGCGCCUGCGGCCGCACGCCCAGCGCCCCUCGCCUAACCUCGCGCCCGGGCCGCGCCUCCUCCUCCUCCUGCUCCCCGCCGCUUCCGUUUCUCGAGGGAAAGGCUGCUGCCUCCUGCUCUGUCCUCAUCCCCGGCUUAGCUGACGGCCCAGAGGGUGGGUGCCAAUUCCACCAGCAGCUGCAACUGAAAAGCAAGGUUCAGAAAUGUCAGAUAUCCUCCGGGAGCUGCUCUGUGUCUCUGAGAAGGCUGCUAACAUUGCCCGGGCGUGCAGACAGCAGGAAGCCCUCUUCCAGCUGCUGAUCGAAGAAAAGAAAGAGGGAGAAAAGAACAAGAAGUUUGCAGUUGACUUCAAGACGCUGGCUGAUGUACUGGUACAGGAAGUUAUAAAACAGAAUAUGGAGAACAAG
rnacentral:lncRNA from 1 species